rnacentral:rRNA from 1 species
GGGCCUGCACAAGCGGUGGAGUAUGUGGCUUAAUUCGAUGCAACGCGAAGAACCUUACCAGGCCUUGACAUGUACGGAUUAGCUGCGUGAAAGCGCAGUGACGGCUCUUCGGAGUUGGAACGUACACAGGUGUUGCAUGGCUGUCGUCAGCUCGUGCCGUGAGGUGUUGGGUUAAGUCCCGUAACGAGCGAAACCCUUAUCGUUAGUUGCCAGCGGGUUAUGCCGGGGACUCUAGCGAGACUGCCGUUGUCAAAACGGAGGAAGGUGGGGACGACGUCAAGUCAUCAUGGCCCUUAUGGCCUGGGCUACAAACGUGCUACAAUGGUCCGUACAAUGGGUUCCGAAGCCGCGAGGUGUAGGCAAUCCCAUCAAAGCGGGCCCCAGUUCGGAUUGCAGGCUGAAAUUCGCCUGCAUGAAGCCGGAAUUGCUAGUAA